AAAGGCAAAAGUUGGAUUCCCAACUCUGAGUGCGACAAGAUCAUCCCUCCAGAAAGGAAAAAUGCAGCUUGGGACCAUGGCAUCAUGUGCAAAUGUCUUGCCGGGCUGCUUUGUGGCGCUCUUAGUGCAUGUGCAAGCAGGCAGCA